UACGUAGGGGGCAAGCGUUGUCCGGAAUCAUUGGGCGUAAAGAGCGUGUAGGCGGCUUGGUAAGUCCGCUGUGAAAGUCCAGGGCUCAACCCUGGAAGGCCGGUGGAAACUGUCAAGCUUGAGUCCGGAAGAGGCGAGUGGAAUUCCUGGUGUAGCGGUGAAAUGCGCAGAUAUCAGGAGGAACACCAAUGGCGAAGGCAGCCCGCUGGGACGGUACUGACGCUGAGACGCGAAAGCGUGGGGAGCAAACAGG
rnacentral:rRNA from 1 species